AGUACAUUUUCCCCUCACACUGUAGCACUUCUGUAAAUGUUUUUGUUCUUUGUUCUACUUCCUGCGCUCUUUGAGCUCGGCUGUGAUGUCUGUUCAGUGGGGCCUUUCUGAUCCAAUUGCCCCUUGCCUGUACAUCCUCUCCCCAGGUAUCAAAAAUGAGGGCAGUGGGACCUGGAGGGCCCCUCAUUACAGGGAGGCGGCCCCGCUCUCCCACCAGUCACAAGCCGAAAAGGCCAGAACCGACUCCGCCAAUGACCAGUAUUGAAAAGAGAGCUCCGGGGGUGAGAGACACGCACAGCCUGGCGGAGUCAGAAGCAGAAGGUUAAAAAAGACAAGAAAGGCCAUGGGGGAAAAAAAAAAAAAAAAGAAGAAGAAAGAAAGAAAGAGAAACCCACAAAAGCCUUCUUUUCUGACUGCCUAAGUGGCUCCCUUUCAGGACCUGAGGCUUUCCAGAAAAAAGUCCUGUGAAGAAUAGACCAUUUCAUGCUGCAAAACCUUCCCUCUGAGGGCAACAUCUCGGGUUUUCCAGAGGAACCAGACAGCCUCCUGAACACCCCCAACAGGCCGCAGAGUUGCUGGAUCUCAUCUGUCUACCUCCCUCCUGGGCCAAGACAAAAGUGUCACUCUGAGUCUGACAGCAUGGCCUGGAUGGCUCUCACCCCUGCCAUCAACGACUCCCCAACCUUCUCAGCCUCCGCCUUGGCUUUCUUCUUUGCCUGGCAUUCUUUAUCACUGCAAAAUGAACAGAGUAACGAGCUCCUCGCUCAGGGACACCACUCCCCUGGAAGACUUUGUGCCAACUUUUGCAAAACUUGGCCACAGUCGAGGUCUUGCCUUUUGGAUCUUGAUGGGCUCCGGGAAGGCCAGGGUUCCAAGAGUUUCUGCACAAUCAACUGGUGGGGGCUCGGGGGAUUAAGGGCUGGAGAAGGAACACAAGACAUGGACCAUCCCCAAACAAGAAAAAGCCCUUUCAACACCAUCAGAUAUGUCUUCCGUAAAGGGUUUCAUGGAGCUGUUUUUAAAGUCUACAUUUAACAAUACGAAGUACCCCAGGCCUGUGUAUUUCAGGCAUCAUGUCUCUGAAGCAGAAACUACAAAGGUCUCUGAUGUUCCUUUUUCAGACUUUUUUUUUUUCCAUGAUAUGAACUUUUUUUAAGGCCUGUGCUUUCCAGUGAGCUCUCCUCCAUCUCUCUUUCUUGCUGAAGUUGCAGAUGUACAUUAUGGUAGUGUGAAAAAAGCUAAUUAAACUGCAGAGACUCGGCAGGAGGCAGGGCAGGCCCCGCCGAGCGCGCAGGAUGAUUGAUUUGCACUGUCACACGGCUCUGCUGGGUGUCAUAACUUAGUGACAAAUCAAGGAUUACAGUGACCCAGAGUAACUCUCUUCCUUUGUUGUUGGGCAGACAUCAAAGCAGCCAAGCAUAUUAGUGUUUUUAAUAAGUAGUUAAGUCGGGAGUAGCUUACAGUUUAGGAUUACUCUGUGUACAACUGGAGGUGUUCGGGGUGGGGGGGGUAAGAAGAAAAAAAAAAACACAACCAAAAAUUCUAAGUCGGAUGAAAACCUAAAAAGAAAAUAAAACAAAAGGAAAGAAAAUGGAGCGGAGCCCA
ensembl:lncRNA